CCCACGUCUUCCUACUCAUUGCUACAAAAGGUCGAGUGAUAAUUAGUAGCAAUGGCCUGGUAUCGGUAGCCCGCUUCAGCGCCAUCCAUUUUCAGGGCUGGUUCAUACGGCAGGUGAGUUGUUACACACUCCUUAGCGGAUUUCGACUUCCAUGACCACCGCCCUGCUGUCAAAAUGAACCAACACCUUUUAUGGUAUCUGAUGAGCGAGCAUUUUGGCACCUUAACCAAGCGUUAGGAGCAUCCCUCAUCGCCAGUUCUGCUUACCAAAAAUGGCCCACUUGGAGUUCAUAUUAAUCCCAGCAGUUCAAUGAAGUAACCACUGGAUCUUACCCAUUUAAAGUUUGAGAAUAGGUCGAGGGCGACGCGCCCCCGAUGCCUCUAAUCAUUCGCUUUACCUGAUAAAACUAACAAAACUCCAGCUAUCCUGAGAGAAGCUUCGGAAGAAACCAGCUACUAGAUGGUUCGAUUAGUCUUUCGCCCCUAUACCCAAGUUUGACGAACGAUUUGCACGUCAGUAUCGCUACGAACCUCCAUCAGGGUUUCCCCUGACUUCAUUCUACUCAGGCAUAGUUCACCAUCUUUCGGGUCCUAACAGAUAUGCUCCAACUCAAACCUCUCUCAGAGAUCGUGGUCGGUCGUAGGUGCGAAGAAUGGCAAAGCCAAAAUCUCCCUACUCUCACUUUCAUUGCGCAUACAGGAGUAAAACCCGCAUACUCGCACAUAUGUUAGACUCCUUGGUCCGUGUUUCAAGACGGGUCGGUUGGAACCGAUUAAGCCAGCAUCACAGAAACCGAGUACUCGAAAGUGGAGCUCGGAAACAGGAACACUCCUCAGCCACAAGGAAAAGGAAAGAACAAAGAUAUAACGGUCCACAAGGAACCUACCUUCUUUGAACGAAAUCAAUUCCGAGUAGCUGAUGCUGACCUCUCCAAAAAGAUGAACCGGAAAUACAUCAAGAAACCAAAGCCUAAACCUGGUGAGAGAGAGAAGGCAAAGGGAUAGAUGGCAAACCGGCGGCACU